CCUUUACACCACUUUCUACAGGCGGGGUCAGCUAAUCAAGCUUUCGGGCCCAUACCCCGAACAUGACGGUUAAAGUCCCUCCUCCGCCA
rnacentral:tRNA from 1 species